rnacentral:misc_RNA from 1 species
AAGUCGUAACAAGGUUUCCGUAGGUGAACCUGCGGAAGGAUCAUUAAUACGUUUGUAACAAAACGUUUAAACCCAAAUGAAUCGUGAACUAGUGUUUUACGGGUUUGCAUUUGUGAGACUUGGCAACGAGUCUUGAAAAGGAGCUUUUGAGCAACUCUAUGUUGUUCGACAUCUCAGUGUAGAGCAGUGAGAUGACAUCACAGCAAGCUGUGUGUGGUUCUGAAAUACAAAUGCUUAUCCGGUUAAUUCUUGCUCUACAUUUUUUUCAAAUCAAACUCUAUAAACCCCAUGUACAACAACUUGAACUAACAACCUUUUUUUGUCUUGGAGCAAUCCGAGAGAAGAAAAAAAAUAACCGAAAUUAAGAACAACUCUUAACAACGGAUAUCUUGGUUCUC